rnacentral:lncRNA from 1 species
GAGGCACGACGGGAGCCGCGAGUCCGCGGGCCCGGGCCUGGCCUCAGUGGGGUGGGCGCGGUGGCCGUCGGUGGGCGCCGAUCCCGGAGGGGAGGGAGGGGCGCGGUGCGUGCGUGCGAGGCGUGCGCGAGGGAGUGUACGGGCCGUGGGCACUGUGAGAAGCUGAGGGGUGCGAGGGGGUGCGUGCAGGGUGAGGCCCGCGGCGCUGUGGGGGGCCUGCCGUGCGUCACUCUGACCACGUAGCUGUUGUGUGACCCGGGGCCCGUUGCCGUAUGUGGUAAUCGUGCAGUGAGUGACUGUCAUCGUGUGUGAUGGUUUCUUUGAGACAGAGAGAGAUAUGGAGGACACGGGGACAUUUGACAGAGCGUGGAGGUCCCGACCGGUCAAAGAAGGUGACUAUAGGGAAUCCAAGAACCUGCAAUAAUCACAGGGAUAAUGAUGGAGACUGUCAGAGACAAGGUCUUAUGGGCUCCACCUUCAUAGACAUUGGCACAUCCAAGGACUGCUCAAGGAACUGGAAUGGAAAUUCUGCUGAGGAGGGGAAGAACAAUUACUUUUCCAGGAAGGAGAUCCUAAGUAAUGGUCAGCCACCAACACAGUGGGGGAGAGGCUGUAGAAGCAGUGAAGUUGUGAGAAGUAUCAGGACACUGUCCAGCCCCACCAAACGAGAGAAUGUUCCCAUGGAAGAGAAACCACAUGCGUUAGUUGCCCAUGGAGGUGUCAUUGAGCAGGUUCUGGAGCCAGCUGAGUUGCAGGCACCGUGUUUGAGCAGGAUAUUCUGCACAUGCAGCAUCUGUGGGAAGAGCUUCAGGCAGUGCUUGGCCCUCAUUGUGCACAAGAGGACUCACAGCAGGGAGAAGCCCUAUCCAUACAACGUGUGGGAAAGUCUUCCAAUGCCAGUCCAACCACAAGGAGCACCGGAGGAUCCAUACUGGAGUCAAACUCUAUGAAUACAUUGGAUGUGGAAAAGUCUUCAUUCAGAACUCCACUCUCAUGCUGCACCAGAGGACCCACACUGGAGAGAAGCAUACAAAUGCAGGGAGUGGAGCAAGACCUUCUGGGGGUGCUCGGACCUGCAGAAACACCAGCAGGUUUACACUGGGGAGAAGUCCUACCAGUGUCGGGAGUAUGGAAAAACCUUCAGGUGGAGCUCACCCCGAUCUGCCACUGGAGAAUGCUCAGUGAUGAGAAGCCGUAUCAGUGCGAGUGCGGCAAGGCCUUUGGGCAGAAUUCUGCACUCGUUGAGCAUCUCAAGGUCCAGCCCUGUGAGUGCUAAGGCCUUUAAGGGCAGCUCAGACCUCACCCAGCACCUGCGGUCUACACAGGUGAGAGGCCCUGUGUGUAUGGUGAAUGUGGGCACGCCUUCACGUGGAAGAUGGUGCUCAUCACCCACCUCAGGAUGCACAGUGGGGAGAGGCCAUAUGUAUGUGGCCAGUGCGGGAAGGCCUUCAUCCAGAGCUCGCAGCUGAGCUGGCACCAACAAAGCCACAUGGGCAAGAAGCCCUGUGUGUGUCCGACGUGUGGCAAGGCCUUCAGCAUGAACACCCACCUUGUUGAGCACCAGCCUAUCCACACAGGCAAGAAGCCCUGUGUGUGCAGUGAGUGUGGUAAGGCCUUCUGCUGGAGCUUGUGCCUCCUCCAGCACCAGAAGCUCCAUGCUAGGGAAUAGCCAGGGCACCAUGUCCCAUGUCACCUCUCACACUCCCUUUUUCUUGCCACCUCAUUGGCUUUCCCUGCUUCCCCCUUCUUUGCCUGGGUUCAGGUUCUCCCUGGUCCACUUUCCAUUUUCUUUUCUGUUUUGUUUUUUUUGUAGCAGCUUUUUUAAGAUAUACUUCACAUACCAUAAAGUUCAGUCUAGUAAAGUGUACAAUUAAAUGGUUGUUAAUAUAUUCAUAGUUGUGCAACUCACCACUAAUUCCUGAAUAUUUUAAUUACCCCUUAAAGAAACCCCUUACCCAUUAGCAAUCACUCUCCAUUUCUCUCCUAUCCCCCAGCCUUGGCACCCACUGAUCGCUAUGGAUCUACCUGUUCUGGUCAUUUCAUAUCAAUGGAGUCACACAGCGUGGUCCUGUAUGCCCAGCUUGCUUCACUCAGCAUGACGUCUUCGGGGCCACCCAUGCUGUAGUGUGACUCAGCAUGAUGUCUUCGGGGCUACUUGUGCAGUAGCGUGAUUCAGCAUGACGUCUGCGGAGCCACCCAUGCUGUAGCGUGCACCAGUACGCCAUUCCUUUGGGGGCCGAAUACUAUUCCCUUGUAUGGAUGCACUACAUUGUGUUUACCCGUUCACCCACUGUUGGACAUUUGGACUUUUUCCACCACUUGGCUAUUCUGUGCACAUCUUUUCCCCAUUAUGAGUGGUUGGGAGGAGCUGGAUGGAGAAAACACGGGGCCAGGAGAAGGGAGAUAAGCCUGGAGAUGCCCUAGGACUGAGGGGCUUGUUGCAAGGGCAGGGCAGCAGCUGUGCUUGGGGCUGGGGGUAGAGCCAGGGCCAGCGACAGGGCCAGGCCACCCUCCUGUUGUCCGUUCCUUCUGUGGCUCAUGGGGCGCUCUUGAGCUGCCCUGCAGAAGGCCCUGACUGGUGCAGCUAAAAUCAGGUACCCUAGCCCCUGGCUUUGCCAGGGUGAGACUUACAGGAAGGCGGUUGUACCUAAUCAAGCCAGGGAACCUAAGCAUAGCCCCUCCUUCCUGACCACCACGAGGCUCAGUGUAACGCCCUCUGAGCCUCAGAGACCCUGGUACUUCAGGGAAGACCCUCCCGCUUCUCUUUGGAGUCCGGGCUCUGGUCCUCCACUCUGGUUAAGAGAGGGGUGCUGGAGUUGGCCAGGCUUGGAUUCAGAUCCAGCCUCCAUCACUGACCGGCGGGGUGGCUGUGAGUCUCUGCCCCUGCCUGUGCUCAGCUGAUGCUUGAUGCAUGAUGCAGCAAGCAGAGCCCUUGACAAGUGUCAGCUGUGUCAGCGAUGCAGUGAUGCAGCCGUCAUGGUCUCCAGAAAUGGGCUGCUUGUGCGCAUUGUCCAGGCCUCUUCCAGCUUCCAUCUCCUCAAUGGGAAAAUGGCCUGCAACAGCAGCCAGGCCCCACAAACACCCAACGGGUAACAGAGACCCCCAGGAACCCUGCUGGUGGCUUCACACUCGUGUCUUCCCAGUGAACCCUGCAGGAGGGGCACCGCUUCCAUUUUCAGAUGGGGAAAUUGAGGCCUGAGGUGGGCUCCUCCAUCUGACUCUAUGUAUGGGGUCCCUCUGACCCCUCUCCAUCUCCUGGGCCACCUCCUUAGUUCAGGGGUUGUGUGGCCACAAGGUGCUUGAACCCACCCACCCACUCACCCUGUGUGUCCAGCCUCCAGGCUGCUCCCAGUAACAGGUCUGAGGCUCCUGUAAGGGGGCAGCUGUGGCAGGGAGAGGCUCAAGAAGAAGGGGCCCUCGCCCCUCCAGAAAUUGACAGGGAAUCUUGAAAGACCUGUGUUAUUUAUAGUAACACAGAGGCCGCAGAUUCAUGGGACAGGACACAGCUGGGCCAACCGAUGGGCAGGAAUCAGGCUGGAUGCUGCCAUGUGAGUGCAAGUGUGUGAGUAUAUGGCAGUGAGGAUGUUUGUGGGAGUGAAAAUGUAUGAGUGUGCUAGACAAGUGUGUCAGCGUAUCACUGUGUGUGUGGAUGUGCCCCUCAGCGUAUACCUGUGUGUGUGCAUGCAGCUGUGCACUCCUAGGUCACCAGGCCACUAGGAACCCCGCCCUGGUGGUGACGGCGCAGGCACUGCUUCCCUUCCAGGACCAUCUGUCCAGGCCAGCACCCAGGAGUAUCCAUGGCUCUCAGUCCAACCUCUGCCUCCUGUAGCUGGUGCCCAAAGCUCCCCUGUCCAUGAUACAGGGCCCAGGCAGCCCCUUGCCCACCAGUGUUUGUCCCAGACACAACAGAUGGAGGAUAAAUAGCAACAAGGAAGAGAACUGAAAGCCCUCAUGGCCACAUGGGAAAAGGAAUCAUUCCUGGGGUAACGUCCAGGCAAAACCCUGCUCCACCUGGCGCUUCGACAGCCUCUCGCUGACACUCAGCUGUCAGAAAAGCUUGGUCUUCCCCUUCCAGAAGGCCAUGCCCCUACACCUGUCCCCUCUCCCUGAUGGCCAGCUGAGCUCCUGCAAAGCCACCCGCUGUCGCAGCUGGCUGCACUUCCUUCCCAUCCCUCACUUACAGCCGUCCGUGGCGUCACCUGCCUCCCUCCUGUUGGCCAGAAGGCGACUGUCUGUGCUUCCUCUGCCAGUCACCCUGUUGGCUCACAGGCAGGAGCCCUCAUCACUGUCCCCUUUGUACAGGAAAGUGAGAUGCAGAGGGGUGAAAGCCAGGGCUCCUUCAGCUGGUGCCAGAAACCUGUGGAGCUGGUUCUCCCUGCUGCUGCUGCCUGACUGUCCCUUGGGAGAGAAGUAAACUAGUGUCCAUUCUCCAGUCUCCACACCUGGCUGUCAGGUCACUGUCCCCAUUUUUACAAAGGCUCGGGGGCCCAUGGAGAGCCACUUCUGGACCAUGGCAGAGCUGAAAGCGUGCCCAGCGCUGCCCAUUUCUCCCUGCCUCUAGGUCUGGUCGUGAGGGCUCUCAGGACUGGCACCACCCAGCACCCUCCUCAACACAUGCCCCCUUGUGACGGCCUUGUCCCUGCAAAGCUAAGUUUGCCUCUUGCUGCUGUGAACCUCCAGCUUUCCCAACUACCACUGUCUCCAUGAGGCCGGCACACUUCUAGGCUGCUGCAGCGGUGGCUACUGCCCUCAGCUGGGUGGUGAGGCCUCCCCAGGCCACAGCUGUGUUGGCUGUUAGGCAGUAAAAGGUUAACUCAGCAAGCUUGGGUUGUCCAAACCUUGUACAUUCCAAAGAUAGCACCAGCUCUUUUUAAAUUUUUAAAGAAACUUUAGAUUGCAUAAAUGUUACAUAAAAAAUAUAGGAGAUGGGGAGCAGAUGUUUAGUGGUUGAGCACCUACUUCCCAACUAUGAGGUCCUGGGUUCAAUUCCCCCCCCCCAAAAAAAUAAAAAUGUAUAUAUAUAAAUAUAUGGGAUUCCCAUGUACUCCACCCCUCCCCUUCCCACACUUUGCCCUCAUUACCAACAUCUUUCAUUAGUGUGGUACAUUUGUUGCAAUUGAUGAACACAUAUUGAAGUUUUGCUACUAAUCAUGAUCUAUAAUUUGCAUCAUAGUUUACACUUAGCACUGCACAAUUUCAUAGAUUUUGACAAAAUGUAUAAUGGCCUGUAUCUGUCAUUGCAAUGUCAUGCAGGACAAUUCCAAUGUCCCCAAAAUGCCCCAUGUUAUACCUAUUCUUUCCACUCCCUCUCCUCAGAACCAUUGGUGACCACUGCCUUUAUAUCAAUGAUACAAGUUCUUCUAUGGCUAGAAUGAUAAUAAGUCUACUUUAGCUCAUAGUUGCAUUCCCUCCUUAAGUUUAUGCAUUCCUCAAUAUUGAGGAUUUGGGGAUGGUGAUGCCCACUCUGUUUCUGAUUGAGAGGGGGCUUAGACCCUGUGGGACAGAUGGAUGGAACUGUCUUGCUUGCAGUUGUGGAUACUCUCUGUUUUUUGGGAUGGGCAUUGUCCAUCAUCAUCCUUUCGUUAGUUGUCCCGGGCAAGUCCAAUGAACUGGAGAGUAGAUGUUGCAACUCUGCUUAGAUUUUAGGGCUCAAAUGGCA